ACAUAAUAAUUACAACUUUCAACAACGGAUCUCUUGGUUCUGGCAUCGAUGAAGAACGCAGCGAAAUGCGAUAAGUAGUGUGAAUUGCAGAAUUCAGUGAAUCAUCGAAUCUUUGAACGCACAUUGCGCCCUUUGGUAUUCCAAAGGGCAUGC
rnacentral:rRNA from 3 species